rnacentral:rRNA from 1 species
CCUACGGGGGGCAGCAGUGGGGAAUCUUGCGCAAUGGGCGAAAGCCUGACGCAGCGACGCCGCGUGAGGGAAGAAGGCCUUCGGGUUGUAAACCUCUUUCAGGAGGGACGAAGCCACUCGGGUGAACAGCCCAGAGGGUGACGGUACCUCCAGAAGAAGCCCCGGCUAACUACGUGCCAGCAGCCGCGGUAAUACGUAGGGGGCAAGCGUUGUCCGGAUUUACUGGGCGUAAAGCGCGUGUAGGCGGCUACGCAGGUCUGUUGUGAAAACUGAAGGCUUA